rnacentral:tRNA from 1 species
GUGUUGGUAGUUCAGUGGUAAAAUGCUUGCCUUCCACGAGGGAGUCCCGGGUUCCAUUCCCGGCCAACACA